AUUGAACACUGGCGGCAGGCUUAACACAUGCAAGUCGAGCGAGCGGCGGACGGGUGAGUAAUGUCUGGGAAACUGCCUGAUGGAGGGGGAUAACUACUGGAAACGGUAGCUAAUACCGCAUACCAUCAGAUGUGCCCAGAUGGGAUUAGCUAGGAGGUGGGGUAAUGGCUCACCUGGGCGACGAUCCCUAGCUGGACUGGGAGGAGGACCAGCCACACUGGGACGGGGACACGGUCCAGACUCCUACGGGAGGCCGCAGUGGGGAAUAUUGCACAGUGGGCGCAAGCCUGAUGCAGCCAUGCCGCGUGUGGGAAGAAGGCCUUCGGGUUGUAAAGCACUUUCAGCGGGGAGGCGUUACUCGCAGAAGAAGCACCGGCUAACUCCGUGCCAGCCGCCGCGGUAAUUC
rnacentral:rRNA from 1 species